GUGAACAAACACUGAAUAUACUCAAUCAUGAGAGAAGUGGGGAAGGUUGUUUGGUUUUGUGUUCAU
ensembl:miRNA